UAGGUUGGUGCAAAAGUAAUUGCGGUUUUUGCCAUUGAAAGUAAUGGCAAAGAUCGCAAUUACUUUUGCACCAGCCUAAUA
ensembl:miRNA